ensembl:miRNA
UCUGGUGGACAGAGCUUGUGUCUAGGGCUGUGUGUAUUUAGCGGCAGCUGUGGGCUCAGGCAGUCUGUCUGCUGA